AGCUGACCGAUAGUGAACUAGUACCGUGAGGGAAAGAUGAAAAGUACCCCGAUGAGGGGAGUGAAACAGUACCUGAAACCGAAUGCUUACAAGCAGUGGGAGCCCCUUAUGGGGUGACCGCGUACCUCUUGCAUAAUGGGUCAGUGACUUAAUCUAUCUAGCAAGCUUAAGCCGUUAGGUGUAGGCGCAGCGAAAGCGAGUCUGAAUAGGGCGAAUGAGUUAGAUGGAUUAGACCCGAAACCCGGCGAUCUAGGCAUGACCAGGUUGAAGGUGCAGUAACAUGCACUGGAGGACCGAACCAUUUAAUGUUGAAAAAUUAUUGGAUGAGUUGUGUUUAGGGGUGAAAGGCCAAUCAAGCCGGGAAAUAGCUGGUUCUCCGCGAAAACUAUUGAGGUAGUGCCUCGGAUGUUUUCCUAUGGGGGUAGAGCACUGGAUGGGCUAGGGGAUCGCGAGAUCUACCAAACCUAACCAAACUCCGAAUACCAUAGAGACAAGUCCGGGAGACAGACGGCGGGUGCUAAGGUCCGUCGUCAAAAGGGAAACAGCCCUAACCUACAGCUAAGGUCCCCAAGUCAUUACUAAGUGGGAAAGCAUGUGGGAAUCCCAAAACAACCAGGAGGUUGGCUUAGAAGCAGCCAUCCUU
rnacentral:rRNA from 14 species